CGUUCCCGGGUCAGUCGCUUUCGGCGAACACGCACUUGAACCGGACGGUCUUGAGAACGUUCGAGAUCUAUCGAUCGAUUCAUGAGAAGACGAUCGAUCGGAAGGACGAGAAAGAUCCAUGGAUCCCGUGAUUAUCCCCGCGAAUAGAAAUGUCUGGCUUGAGAAUGAUAAAAGGAUGGAAUUUAAAUGAAGGACGAUCUUGGUGGUUUUUGGAUGAAGCAGUCAGAUGAAUAGAUAAAUUCAUUGUUUCCAAGAUUCGAACCUAACCUUAAACUAUCUUCAAACGGAAUUCAUGGACCAAGGGCAGAAGAAGUUCCGAGAAUUUUCAAUUUUCCCCAUAUCUUGAACUUGAACGUCAAUCGGACUUCGAUGGAAGUUGAAGAUGAUUGAAUGCGGGUGAACGCGGACGCGCGCGCACGAUACUCGCGCUUGCAGGAUAUCCGUGGAUGCAGGAGGCGACGGCAACAGGGAGGAUGACGGCGAGCGCGCAAGAGCGAGAAGUCGGUAACUUAACUGGCCUAAAUGGGUUUAACUCGAUGUGAUUUUGCUGGCGAACCACUAAAUUGAACGAAUACGAACUAAACUGAACUCAACUAAGCUAAUCAUAUCACAUUACUAGCGUUAUUAGCCGAGAGACGAUAUAAGUGAAGGUCCGGUGGUGCCGGGCUGCAGUAACGGGUCGCCUCCUGUACUGACCCUCUGCACGACUUUCUUUUCGACCCCUUUUUCUUGCUCGCACAGUCGGAUAUUUCGUGUCUUAUUAGUGAUUUUGUGAAACUUUGUGGAAGGUGAAUUUCUUGGACAAAACGGAUGAAAAGAUGUGUACGAGGUCUAGAUGGGUACGAUGUUGCCCGAUUCUGACCGAACGGCGAUGCUACCCUGGCAGUGCAACAGGAAACACGUGCGCUCAGUGAAAGUGACAGCUCGCAGCGCGCCAAAUUUGAAAUCGGAGGGACUCGAAAUAGAGAUUCCGAUUUAAUACGUUGUUCGUGCAAGUAACGUGUUUUUUUAUAAGUGUGCAGUGAUUUUUGGAUAAAUUUUUGUCAGAAAAUCAUGUAAUUUCUUCUUAUUUGGAUGUUAUAUACACUGAAAAUAGAUGUGUGUCUAUUUUAAAUUAAAACGAAUACGUUAUAGAGUCGUAUAUUGGUAUAAUUAUUAUACAAGUUAUUGGUACAAUUAUUUUUUAAUGAUAAAGUAUAGACUUGAAUUAGAAUGAUUCUCAAUUUAAGUGAUUUUUUGAUUUCGCUUUGUGAUAUGAUACAUUAGUAUAAAUUCCGUAAAUGUUAAUUCUGCGAAGGUAUAUUAUUUAAAAUCUUCGUAAAUAUUAUAUGAUAUAUAUAAGUAUGAUAAUAAACAAUUUUUUACAUUUAAA